GACGAACGCUGGCGGCGUGCUUAACACAUGCAAGUCGAACGGAAAGGCCCUGCUUUUGUGGGGUGCUCGAGUGGCGAACGGGUGAGUAACACGUGAGUAACCUGCCCUUGACUUUGGGAUAACUUCAGGAAACUGGGGCUAAUACCGGAUAAGAGCUCCUGCUGCAUGGUGGGGGUUGGAAAGUUUCGGCGGUUGGGGAUGGACUCGCGGCUUAUCAGCUUGUUGGUGGGGUAGUGGCUUACCAAGGCUUUGACGGGUAGCCGGCCUGAGAGGGUGACCGGCCACAUUGGGACUGAGAUACGGCCCAGACUCCUACGGGAGGCAGCAGUGGGGAAUAUUGCACAAUGGGCGGAAGCCGGAUGCAGCAACGCCGCGUGCGGGAUGACGGCCUUCGGGUUGUAAACCGCUUUCGCCUGUGACGAAGCGUGAGUGACGGUAAUGGGUAAAGAAGCACCGGCUAACUACGUG
rnacentral:rRNA from 1 species